rnacentral:rRNA from 1 species
UACGUAGGGACCAAGCGUUGUCCGGAAUCAUUGGGCGUAAAGAGCGUGUAGGCGGCUUGUUAAGUCUUGCGUGAAAUCUCGGGGCUCAACCCCGAGCGGUCGUGAGAAACUGGCAGGCUAGAGUGCGGGAGAGGAGAGUGGAAUUCCUGGUGUAGCGGUGAAAUGCGUAGAUAUCAGGAGGAACACCGGUGGCGAAAGCGCUCAUCUGGCCCAAUACUGACGCUGAGGCGCGAAAGCUAGGGGAGCAAACGGG